rnacentral:rRNA from 1 species
GACGAACGCUGGCGGCGUGCUUAACACAUGCAAGUCGAACGAAGUGGCGAACGGGUGAGUAACGCGUAAUCAACCUGCCCUUCAGAGGGGGACAACAGUUGGAAACGACUGCUAAUACCGCAUACUGAAGUAGGGGGUUGCGUCGGAUUAGCUAGUUGGAGGGGUAACGGCCCACCAAGGCGAUGAUCAGUAGCCGGGCUGGGGGGAUGGAUGGGCAAAUUGGGACUUGGACACGGCCCAGACUCCUUCGGGAGGCAGCAGGGGGGAAUCUUCCGAAAUGGAGGAAAGGCUGACGGAGCAACGGCGCGGGAGUGAUGACGGCCUUCGGGUUGUAAAGGUAUGUUAAUCGGGACGCGGUACCGGAAGAGAAAGCAACGGCUAACUACGUGCCAGCAGCCGCGGUAAUUC